GUAGCUGCUGCCCAGCAGACAGGCAUUUAUAGCUACUGCUGAGCAGGCCGGUGUUUUUAGCUACGUAAAGCAGGGUGACUUUUGAAAAAGGUUUGGUACCCAUGUUCAGAUGAAGCUGCCCUCCAAUUCGGCUCCCAGUGCCCCCCCAGUGGAAUGGCCAGGAUGGACACUGGAGCCGAGGAAUGGGAAAAAGAAAAGUAUUGGGGCAGUUUGUAACCUGGGGGUAAAUCCAAGACUUGGAGGAGCAGUUCAGUUGAAACAAGAACUGCUAGCAGAAAAACCUGUAAAGGGUAUCUGGAUCGCUCAAAAACAAGAAGGGGGAUUUGUGGGAAUUCUUAAAGAGCCAAGGCCACGUAGUGAGUGAUCCCGAUACCCUGAGCCUUAUUACUGUAAAGUAAGAAGAUUCUUGGCAGGCAUAAGCAAGGUCAAUUGUCUUGUUAGGCCUCUGUAAUUUUCCACUGAAAACGUGCAGAGAAUGAUCUCUGCAAAGGUUGUAGUUUCCCACUGUAUUUUUAGAGUAAGGUAUUUAAUCGCAAUUAUAACAAGUUAUAAACAUUAGCUUUGUAAACGGUAGUAACCUCUAGACUAACCAAUUAGAGCUCAGUAUCCAAGGCUGUUACAUAAGAAACCUAAGGGUGUAGGGGUAUAAAAGGAGCACUGUAUCUGAAUAAACUUUGGCAAUCGCUUGAUCAUACUGAUUGUCUCUGCGUUGUCUGUGACUCCUGUGUCGACACUCCUUGACCUCCAUCACAACACCUUUUGCCUUCUCUCUGCUUGCUUCUUCUCGCACAUAUCUGGAGCCAUCUUCCCUGCUCAUUGCAGUGAAGGAUGGCUCCAGAUUGCUUGCUUAUGCUCUUUCUCUGCUUAUUGCUUGCAGGCACUAAGAGAAAAGCUUUAUGCCAAGGAAAACACCAUCAACAUGCUGCAGGACAAGUGCAGACAGCAGGAAGAGGAGUGCAAGAGGCUGCAGCAAAGACUUGAGCAAUUGGAGGAGGAAUGCAGGUCAUCCAGGCAGCAGCAGCGCCUGCAGGCUCUGACAGAAGCACUCAGAAGGCUGAAGGACUUUGCUGCACUUGAAGAAAAACAUUCAUUACUACAGAGAGAGUUGUUAAUUGUGAAGGAGGCACUAGAGAAAUCACUCCUUCAGAGGAAUCAGCUGAUGCAGGACAAGAAUGAGCUUAUUGUGGCACUGAAGAAGGUAGAGUCACCUUAUGGGAGAGGGAAAUAUGACAGCCAGAUCAUCACAGGUGCUGUUUCU
rnacentral:lncRNA from 14 species